AGAGCUCUCGGCAUAGGAUGAGACUAUAUUGUAUCAGCUAGUUGGUGAGGUAAUGGCUCACCAAGGCUAUGACGCAUAACUGGUCUGAGAGGAUGAUCAGUCACACUGGAACUGAGACACGGUCCAGACUCCUACGGGAGGCAGCAGUAGGGAAUAUUGCUCAAUGGGGGAAACCCUGAAGCAGCAACGCCGCGUGGAGGAUGACACUUUUCGGAGCGUAAACUCCUUUUGUUGGGGAAGAACCAUGACGGUACCCAACGAAUAAGCACCGGCUAACUCCGUGCCAGCAGCCGCGGUAAUACGGAGGGUGCAAGCGUUACUCGGAAUCACUGGGCGUAAAGGACGCGUAGGCGGAUUAUCAAGUCUUUUGUGAAAUCUAAUGGCUUAACCAUUAAACUGCUUGAGAAACUGAUAAUCUAGAGUGAGGGAGAGGCAGAUGGAAUUGGUGGUGUAGGGGUAAAAUCCGUAGAGAUCACCAGGAAUACCCAUUGCGAAGGCGAUCUGCUGGAACUUAACUGACGCUAAUGCGUGAAAGCGUGGGGAGCAAACAGGAUUAGAUACCCUGGUAGUCCACGCCCUAAACGAUGUAUACUAGUUGUUGCUGUGCUAGUCAUGGCAGUAAUGCACCUAACGGAUUAAGUAUACCGCCUGGGGAGUACGGUCGCAAGAUUAAAACUCAAAGGAAUAGACGGGGACCCGCACAAGCGGUGGAGCAUGUGGUUUAAUUCGAAGAUACGCGAAGAACCUUACCUGGGCUUGAUAUCCUAAGAACCUUGUAGAGAUACGAGGGUGCUAGCUUGCUAGAACUUAGUGACAGGUGCUGCACGGCUGUCGUCAGCUCGUGUCGUGAGAUGUUCGGUUAAGUCCGGCAACGAGCGCAACCCACGUAUUUAGUUGCUAACAGUUUGGCUGAGCACUCUAAAUAUACUGCCUUCGUAAGGAGGAGGAAGGUGUGGACGACGUCAAGUCAUCAUGGCCCUUAUGCCCAGGGCGACACACGUGCUACAAUGGCAUAUACAAUGAGACGCAAUAUCGCGAGAUGGAGCAAAUCUAUAAAAUAUGUCCCAGUUCGGAUUGNCAUGAAGCCGGAAUCGCUAGUAAUCGUAGAUCAGCCAUGCUACGGUGAAUACGUUCCCGGGUCUUGUACUCACCGCCCGUCACACCAUGGGAGUUGAUUUCACUCUAAGCCGGAAUACUAAACUAGUUACCGUCCACAGUGGAAUCAGCGACUGGGGUGAAGUCGUAACAAGGUAACCGUAGGAGAACCUGCGGUUG
rnacentral:rRNA from 1 species